rnacentral:rRNA from 1 species
UACGUAGGGGGCAAGCGUUAUCCGGAAUUACUGGGUGUAAAGGGUGAGUAGGCGGCAUAAUAAGUCAUAUGUGAAAGCCCGGGGCUCAACCCCGGGACUGCAUAAGAAACUGUUAAGCUAGAGUACAGGAGAGGUAAGCGGAAUUCCUAGUGUAGCGGUGAAAUGCGUAGAUAUUAGGAAGAACACCAGUGGCGAAGGCGGCUUACUGGACUGAAACUGACGCUGAGUCACGAAAGCGUGGGGAGCGAACAGG